UGGGGAAUAUUGCACAAUGGGCGCAAGCCUGAUGCAGCCAUGCCUCGUGUGUGAAGAAGGCCUUCGGGUUGUAAAGUACUUUCAGCGGGGAGGAAGGCGGUGACGCUAAUAACCUCACCGAGUGACGUUACCCGCAGAAGAAGCACCGGCUAACUCCGUGCCAGCAGCCGCGGUAAUACGGAGGGUGCAAGCGUUAAUCGGAAUUACUGGGCGUAAAGCGUACGCAGGCGGUCUGUCAAGUCGGAUGUUGAAUCCCCGGGCUCAACCUGGGAACUGCAUUCGAAACUGGCAGGCUAGAGGCUUGUAGAGGGGGAUAGAAUUCCAGGUGUAGCGGUGAAGUGCGUAGAGAUCAGGAGGAAGAACGGUGGCGACGGCGGCCCCCUGGACGAAGACUGACGAUCAGGUGGGAAAGCGUGGGGAGCAAACAGG
rnacentral:rRNA from 1 species